rnacentral:rRNA from 1 species
UACAGAGGUCCCAAGCGUUGUUCGGAUUCACUGGGCGUAAAGGGUGCGUAGGCGGUCUGACAAGUCUGAUGUGAAAUCUUCGAGCUUAACUCGGAAAUGGCAUUGGAAACUGUUGGACUAGAGGAUUGGAGGGGAGACUGGAAUUCUCGGUGUAGCAGUGAAAUGCGUAGAUAUCGAGAGGAACACCAGUGGCGAAGGCGAGUCUCUAGACAAUUCCUGACGCUGAGGCACGAAAGCUAGGGGAGCAACAGG